AGAGUUUGAUCAUGGCUCAGAGUGAACGCUGGCGGCAUGCCUAACACAUGCAAGUCGAACGGUAACGGGCCCGCAAGGGUGCCGACGAGUGGCGGACGGGUGAGGAAUACAUCGGAAUUUGCCCAGUCGUGGGGGAUAACGUAGGGAAACUUACGCUAAUACCGCAUACGACCGGAAGGUGAAAGCGGGGGAUCGCAAGACCUCGCGCGAGUGGAUGAGCCGAUGUCGGAUUAGCUAGUUGGUGGGGUAAAGGCCUACCAAGGCGACGAUCCGUAGCUGGUCUGAGAGGAUGAUCAGCCACACUGGGACUGAGACACGGCCCAGACUCCUACGGGAGGCAGCAGUGGGGAAUAUUGGACAAUGGGGGCAACCCUGAUCCAGCAAUGCCGCGUGUGUGAAGAAGGCCUUCGGGUUGUAAAGCACUUUUGUCCGGAACGAAACGUGUCGGGUGAAUAUCCCGGCAAACUGACGGUACCGGAAGAAUCAGCACCGGCUAACUUCGUGCCAGCAGCCGCGGUAAUACGAAGGGUGCAAGCGUUACUCGGAAUUACUGGGCGUAAAGCGUGCGUAGGUGGUUUGUUAAGUCCGUUGUGAAAGCCCUGGGCUCAACCUGGGAAUGGCAGUGGAUACUGGCAAGCUAGAGUGCGGUAGAGGGUAGUGGAAUUCCCGGUAGCAGUGAAAUGCGUAGAGAUCGGGAGGAACACCAGUGGCGAAGGCGGCUACCUGGACCAGCACUGACACUGAGGCACGAAAGCGUGGGGAGCAAACAGGAUUAGAUACCCUAGUAGUCC
rnacentral:rRNA from 1 species